UUGAAAUAUAGUAAAUAUUUACUUUGUAAUAUAAUUAUUUUAGGUUAGUUUAACAACAAUCUGAAAGUUAUAUCAUUACUUCAUGAUUUUAAUGAUACAUUUUAUAAGAAAUUUUAAAUGAUUUAUAUUCUUACUUGAUUUUUCACGUUUAUAAGUAAAUGUGUCGUACAAAAAGAAAUUAGAUAUUGAAAAACGACACAGGUCGUCAAUAAUUCGAUAAACUUCAUCAUUAUGGCAUUGUCAAUGUUUUUAAUCAUAAGACCAUAGUCUAUUUACUCGAUAUCACUUUUGUUAUAACGCGAGAUCAUUUAAACGGACGACAAUUAAAUCAUUAAAAAUUAACCUAAAUCAUACGUUUUACCGACCGUUCACAUUUGUAUUCAUUCACUGAUUACGAUUCUUACCGUAUAGAUAUAUAUAUAUACAAUUGACUAUAAUAUAUUCAGAUUUAACACACACUAUAUGUAUAAAAUGUGAUGGCAGCACCAUCGGGAGAUCGCCAUCUUGCGGAUGAAAGUUGUACUAACGAUAUUAUGAUUUACUAUGUUAAAUGUAAGCAUGCAGAUUGUUUCGCGUCAAUAAAGAAGAGCUAUUUUAUCACUUCAGAACGACUUUAGUAUUAGGUUCAAUAUUUUGAUGUUAGAAAUAAAUAACAAAUAAAUAACUCUUUUCGAUAAAAGAAAAAUAACAAUAAUGAGCCGAUACAUUGAAAUUUUACAAACUCAACGCUGAUGCCAUUGGAUGAUCAAUGUUUUCCUUUAAUUCUAUUGCUAGGAACAUAACCUAUAAAACAAUUGACUUGAAUAAAAUUCUACGAUGGAAAUUCGGUAUUUUCAUUAUGUCAUUAGUUCUGGGACGUUAUUAUAAAUGAUCAGUACAACGACAAAUAAAAAUAAAUCAAUUGAUGAUGGCUUAAUUACUUACUUUAAAUGAUUGAUAAAUAAUUGAAGAAGAAAUAUCAACGUUCAGUCAUAUAUACAAUUAUUUUAACAAAGUAAAAUUGAAAAAAGAAGAAGAAGAAGAAAAAAAAAAGAAAAGAAGUUAGUAAUUGGGAAGAAAGGAUUGUAUAAUCUUUUUAAUUAUUACAUAUUCAUUUCAAUAACGUUAAUAUAGACUUAAUAUAGAAGCAAAAUAUAAUUGAUAUUUAAAUGAAUAAUUCUAUAAGUUGUGCUUAAUUAUUAUAAUGUUAUUAACUCUGAUCCAUUUCAUAUGAAGUAAUUUAUUUAAUUUUAUUUUAUAUAUAAGUACUCUGUUGUUAAAUGAAAAUUUUCAAGUUUUCAACGUCAUUGCAAAUAUUAUGAGAUAAAACAAGAUAGUCAAUGAA